rnacentral:tRNA from 1 species
GACCUGAAAGCUCAACUGGUUGAGCACUCCAACGGCAUCGCCGAGGUCAGGGUUCGAGUCCCGAUCAGGUCU